UACAGAGGUCUCAAGCGUUGUUCGGAUUCAUUGGGCGUAAAGGGUGCGUAGGCGGCGCGGUAAGUCGGGCGUGAAAUCUCGGGGCUUAACUCCGAAACUGCAUUCGAUACUGCCGUGCUUGAGGACUGGAGAGGAGACUGGAAUUUACGGUGUAGCGGUGAAAUGCGCAGAUAUCAGGAGGAACACCGGUGGCGAAGGCGGUUCUCUGGGCAUGAUCUGACGCUGAGGAGCGAAAGUGUGGGGAGCGAACAGG
rnacentral:rRNA from 1 species